GUGGGGAAUCUUGCGCAAUGGGCGAAAGCCUGACGCAGCCAUGCCGCGUGGAUGAUGAAGGUCUUAGGAUUGUAAAAUCCUUUCACCGGUGAAGAUAAUGACUGUAGCCGGAGAAGAAGCCCCGGCUAACUUCGUGCCAGCAGCCGCGGUAAUACGAAGGGGGCUAGCGUUGCUCGGAAUUACUGGGCGUAAAGGGCGCGUAGGCGGACAGCUUAGUCAGAGGUGAAAGCCCAGGGCUCAACCUUGGAAUUGCCUUUGAUACUGGCUGUCUUGAGUUUGGGAGAGGUGAGUGGAACUCCGAGUGUAGAGGUGAAAUUCGUAGAUAUUCGGAAGAACACCAGUGGCGAAGGCGACUCACUGGCCCAAUACUGACGCUGAGGCGCGAAAGCGUGGGGAGCAAACAGGAUUAGAUACCCUGGUAGUCC
rnacentral:rRNA from 1 species